ACUUAGCGGCGGACGGGUGAGUAACGCGUGGGUAACCUGCCUUACACUGGGGGAUAACAGUUAGAAAUGACUGCUAAUACCGCAUAAGCGCACAGGGCCGCAUGGCCUGGUGUGAAAAACUCCGGUGGUGUAAGAUGGACCCGCGUCUGAUUAGGUAGUUGGUGGGGUAACGGCCCACCAAGCCGACGAUCAGUAGCCGACCUGAGAGGGUGACCGGCUACAUUGGGACUGAGACACGGCCCAA
rnacentral:rRNA from 1 species